rnacentral:tRNA from 1 species
GGGCGUAACUCAGAGGAAGAGUAUCUGCCUUCCAAGCAGAAUGUCGUGGGUUCGAAUCCCAUCGCCC